CGGCAAGAAGGGUGGUCGGUUAUAUGUUGGCGACGGUGCCAUCCGUAAGAAGGACAUCCCAAAACUCUCUCACCUCCGUGCUACCACGUCGAGCUCAGGUCCUGCUAUAGAGCUUCGCCCACAGCCUGGGCUGCACAUGCUCCAUCAACUCGAGGCCAAUGCCAGGCUUCGAGAGGAGGAAGCCAUGAAAAUGCAGCAGGCCCUGUUUCAACAGCAAGAAUUCAUGGUUAAACAACAGGCAAUCCUGCAGGAGACAUUUGCUCAACUCAGAAAUAAUAUGCAGGGUUCCACUUUGCCCGUUCUUCCUCCUCUUCCGACUCUUCCUAAUUUCAACUUUUUUUCUCAGUCGGGACAAGGCUCCAAUAACUGUGUGGUAGGUGGAUCUUCACCUGGCUAAGCAAGUCCAGUGACACCCACUACGGUUCAUGUCGCUUCGACCUCCCCGCAACAAUGAUCACUUGAGGUUUGCAUUGUGGAUGGCGUUGACGGUGGGCAUAUAUGCUGCGGUGGAGCUCAUUGGUUCAUGCUUGGUGUGAACAUGGAACUCAUGAUUCUUUAAUUUGUGAACCUCUGGUUGCAUAUGUAUGUAUGUUGUUGUGAACCUUCGUUGGAUAUGUAUGCACUGUG